rnacentral:rRNA from 1 species
CCUACGGGUGGCAGCAGUGAGGAAUAUUGGUCAAUGGACGAGAGUCUGAACCAGCCAAGUAGCGUGAAGGAUGACUGCCCUAUGGGUUGUAAACUUCUUUUAUAUGGGAAUAAAACGUUCCACGUGUGGGAUUUUGUAUGUACCAUAUGAAUAAGGAUCGGCUAACUCCGUGCCAGCAGCCGCGGUAAUACGGAGGAUCCGAGCGUUAUCCGGAUUUAUUGGGUUUAAAGGGAGCGUAGGUGGAUUGUUAAGUCAGUUGUGAAAGUUUGCGGCUCAACCGUAAAAUUGCAGUUGAAACUGGCAGUCUUGAGUACAGUAGAGGUGGGCGGAAUUCGUGGUGUAGCGGUGAAAUGCUUAGAUAUAUCGAAGAACUCCGAUUGCGAAGGCAGUUCACUGGACUGCAACUGACACUGAGGCUCGAAAGUGUGGGUAUCAAACAGGAUUAGAUACCCCUGUAGUC